AUCCAGCUGAUGAGUCCCAAAUAGGAUGAAACAUGCGUCAAACUGGAU
rfam:Schistosoma curassoni strain Dakar, Senegal genome assembly, scaffold: SCTD_scaffold0019259